UACGUAGGGGGCAAGCGUUGUCCGGAAUUAUUGGGCGUAAAGCGCGCGCAGGCGGCUAUUUAAGUCUGGUGUUUAAACCUUGGGCUCAACCUGGGGUCGCACUGGAAACUGGAUGGCUUGAGUACAGAAGAGGAAAGUGGAAUUCCACGUGUAGCGGUGAAAUGCGUAGAUAUGUGGAGGAACACCAGUGGCGAAGGCGACUUUCUGGCCUAUAACUGACGCUGAGGCGCGAAAGCGUGGGGAGCAAACAGG
rnacentral:rRNA from 1 species